rnacentral:rRNA from 1 species
UACGUAGGGUGCAAGCGUUAAUCGGAAUUACUGGGCGUAAAGCGUGCGCAGGCGGUGAUGUAAGACAGGUGUGAAAUCCCCGGGCUUAACCUGGGAACUGCAUUUGUGACUGCAUCGCUGGAGUGCGGCAGAGGGGGAUGGAAUUCCGCGUGUAGCAGUGAAAUGCGUAGAGAUGCGGAGGAACACCGAUGGCGAAGGCAGCCCCCUGGGCUAACACUGACGCUCAGGCACGAAGCGUGGGGAGCAAACAGG